GACAGAGAGACUCACUGAGCGGAGACGCUGAUGGCGGCGGCGAUCAACAUGGCGGUUGCUCUUUAAAUCUCUGGUUGCUCCGGGCACCAACCGUCGCCGGGUCCCGCCCCCCGACCGCGCUGAUUGGACGAGGAGGCGGCGACUGACGGCGGUCCCGGCCAAUGGGCGGAGGAUGUUGCAGCUCCUAGACUGUGGAACACCAUCCCUGUUCCCAUCAGAACUGCCCCCUCCAUCGACUCUUUUAAGUCAAGACUAAAGACUUAUCUAUACUCCCAAGCCUUUCCUGACGUCCUCUGAGUGAGGGCUACAUGUAUAUAUGUAUGUAGUUUGUUUUGUUGUGCUAUUCUUAUAACAAAUGUAAAGCACUUUGGCCAACGAGAGUUGUUUUUUAAAUGUGCUAUAUAAAUAAAUGUGACUUGACUUGACAUCCUUAA